AUGGCGGGAACUGCAAGUCCUUUGCUCUCCUGGCGGUCGGUCCCCGUACGGCCUCUCUGGGUAUGCGCCGCCCGCUGCCGGCGCCCUGCAGAUGAGAAAAUAGACUUGCUGGGAGUUUAAAUGACUUGCCCAAGAUACGAACAGCUAUUAAAUGGGAGAAGAAAGCUGGAUUUUUACUUAGAACCAUACAGAAGAUGGAAUCCAGAUGGAUUAAAGACUUAAAUGUAGAAGUUAAAACUAUAAAGCUAAUGUAAGAAAAUACAGGAAAAAUCUA